rnacentral:rRNA from 1 species
UACGAAGGGGGCUAGCGUUGCUCGGAAUCACUGGGCGUAAAGGGCGCGUAGGCGGCCUGCUAAGUCGAACGUGAAAUCCCCGGGACUCAACCCUGGGAACUGCGUCCGAUACUGGGUGGGCUUGAAUCCGGGAGAGGGAUGGGCGGAAUUCCAGGUGUAGCGGUGAAAUGCGUAGAUAUCUGGAGGAACACCGGUGGCGAAGGCGGCAUCCUGGACCGGCCAGUUGACGCUGAGGCGCGAAAGCUAAGGGGAGCAAACGGGGAGUAAGAUACCCG